UUGAACGCUAGCGGGAUGCCUUACNCAUGCAAGUCGAACGGCAGCACGGACUUCGGUCUGGUGGCGAGUGGCGAACGGGUGAGUAAUGUAUCGGAACGUGCCCAGUNAGCGGGGGAUAACUACGCGAAAGCGUAGCUAAUACCGCAUACGCCCUACGGGGGGAAAGCAGGGGAUCGCAAGACCUUGCACUAUUGGAGCGGCCGAUAUCGGAUUAGCUAGUUGGUGGGGUAACGGCUCACCAAGGCGACGAUCCGUAGCUGGUUUGAGAGGACGACCAGCCACACUGGGACUGAGACACGGCCCAGACUCCUACGGGAGGCAGCAGUGGGGAAUUUUGGACAAUGGGGGAAACCCUGAUCCAGCCAUCCCGCGUGUGCGAUGAAGGCCUUCGGGUUGUAAAGCACUUUUGGCAAGGAAAGAAACUCGCGGGUUAUACCCGCGAAACUGACGGUACUGCAGAAUAAGCACCGGCUAACUACGUGCCACAGCGNGGGGG
rnacentral:rRNA from 1 species